AACGAACGCUGGCGGCAUGCCUAACACAUGCAAGUCGAACGAGACCUUCGGGUCUAGUGGCGCACGGGUGCGUAACGCGUGGGAACCUGCCCUUAGGUUCGGAAUAACUCCCCGAAAGGGGUGCUAAUACCGGAUAAUGUCUUCGGACCAAAGAUUUAUCGCCUUUGGAUGGGCCCGCGUUGCAUUAGCUAGUUGGUAGGGUAAAAGCCUACCAAGGCGACGAUCCAUAGCUGGUCUGAGAGGAUGAUCAGCCACACUGGGACUGAGACACGGCCCAGACGACGACGGGAGGUAGAGGUGGGAAAUGGGUGAGAAGGGGAGGCAGGCGGAUACAGGAGUGCCGUGUGGGAGAGGAGUGCCUGAUGGGUAUAAAGCCCUUUUGCCCGGGAUAGUAAAGCGAGUAGAGGGAGAAAAAGCUACGGCACACUCCGUGCAAGCAGCGGAGGGAUAGAUAAGAAGAGCACCAUCUCAUC
rnacentral:rRNA from 1 species